GGAACACUGAUCUCAAUGGGCCUACAAUCAAUACACUUUGUUUUGCCUCCUUUCUCUGGGGAGCAUAACCAAGUUAUAAUAUUCCUGGUGUUCCCUAACACCACCUGACAUAGAGAAAGCAUAACUGCAUUCAUUUUAUAUUCCUAGUCAAGUACAUCUACACAAGACACAUGGAAUGAAGUACCGGUAUAUUAAUCAUAGAAUCCACCCAGACCAUAAUAUAGAUACUUAACAUUGUUGUUGUUGUUUAGUCGUUUAGUCAUGUCCGACUCUUUGUGACCCCAUGGACCAGAGCACGCCAGGCACUUCUGUCUUCCACUGCCUCCUGCAGUUUAGACAAACUCAUGCUGGUAGCUUCGAGAACACUAUCCAACCAUCUUGUCCUCUGUCGUCCCUUUCUCCUUGUGCCCUCCAUCUUUCCCAGCAUCAGGGUCUUUUCCAGGGAGUCUUCUCUUCUCAUGAGGUGGCCAAAGUAUUGGAGCCUCAGCUUCAGGAUCUGUCCUUCCAGUGAGCACUCAGGGCUGAUUUCCUUAAGAAUGGAGAGGUUUGAUCUUCUUGCAGUCCAUGGGACUCUCAAGAGUCUCCUCCAGCACCAUAAUUCAAAAGCAUCAAUUCUUCGGCGAUCAACCUUCUUUAUGGUCCAGCUUUCACUUCCAUACAUCACUACUGGGAAAACCAUGGCUUUAACUAUACGGACCUUUGUUGGUAAGGUGAUGUCUCUGCUUUUUAGGAUGCUGUCUAGGUUUGCCAUCGCCUUUCUCCCAAGGAGAAGUCUUUUAAUUUCGUGACUCCUGUCACCAUCUGCAGUGAUCAUGGAGCCUAAGAAGGUAAAAUCUCUCACUGCCUCCAUUUCUUCCCCUUCUAUUUGCCAGGAGGUGAUGGGACCAGUGGCCAUGAUCUUCGUUUUUUGAUGUUGAGCUGCAGACCAUAUUUUGCGCUCUCCUCUUUCACCCUCAAUAAAAGGUUAUUUAAUUCCUCCUCACUUUCUGCCAUCAAGGUUGUGUCAUCUGCAUAUCUGAGGUUGUUGAUAUUUCUUCCGGCAAUCUUAAUUCCGGCUAGGGAUUCAUCCAGCCCAGCCUUUCGCAUGAUGAAUUCUGCAUAUAAGUUAAAUAAGCUUGGAGACAAUAUACAGCCUUGUCAUACAUCUUUCCCAAUUUUGAACCAAUCAGUUGUUCCAUAUCCAGUUCUAACUGUAGCUUCUUGUCCCACAUAGAGAUUUCUCAGCAGACAGAUGAGGUGAUCAGGCACUCCCAUUUCCUUAAGAACUUGCCAUAGUUUGCUGUGGUCGACACAGUCAAAGGCUUUUGCAUAGUCAAUGAAGCAGAAGUAGAUGUCUUUCUGGAACUCUCUAGCUUUCUCCAUAAUCCAGCGCAUGUUUGCAAUUUGGUCUCUGGUUCCUCUGCCUCUUCUAAAUCCAGCUUGCACUUCUGGGAGUUCUUGGUCCACAUACUGAUUGAGCCUUCCUUGUAGAAUUUUAAGCAUAACCUUGCUAGCGUGUGAAAUGAGUGCAAUUGUGCGGUAGUUGGAGCAUUCUUUGGCACUGCCUUUCUUUGGGAUUGGGAUGUAGACUGAUCUUCUCCAAUCCUCUGGCCACUGCUGAGUUUUCCAAACUUGCUGGCAUAUUGAGUGUAGCACCUCAACAGCAUCAUCUUUUAAAAUUUUAAAUAGUUCAGCUGGAAUACCAUCACUUCCACUGACCUUGUUAUUUGCAUUGCUUUCUAGGGCCCAUUUGACUUCACUCUCCAGGAUGUCUGGCUCAAGGUCAGCAGCCACACUACCUGGGGUGUAUGAGACAUCCAUAUCUUUCUGGUAUAAUUCCUCUGUGUAUUCUUGCCACCUCUUCUUGAUGUCUUCUGCUUCUGUUAGGUCCUUACCACUUUUGUCCUUUAUUAUGGUAAUCUUUGUACGAAAUGUUCCUUUCAUAUCUCCAAUUUUCUUGAACAGAUCUCUGGUUCUUCCCAUUCUGUUGUUUUCCUCUAUUUCUUUGCACUGCUCAUUUAGGAAGGCCUUCUUGUCUCUCCUUGCUAUUUUUUGGAAAUCUGCAUUCAAUUUCCUGUAUCUUUCACUAUCUCCCUUGCAUUUUGCUUGCCUUCUCUCCCCCGCUAUUUGUAAGGCCUCGUUGGACAGCCACUUUGCUUUCUUGCAUUUCCUUUUCAUUGGGAUGGUUUUCGUUGCUGCCUCCUGUAUAAUGUUGCGAGCCUCCAUCCAUAGUUCUUCAGGCACUCUGUCCACCAGAUCUAAAUCCUUAAACCUGUUCCUCACUUCCACUGUGUAUUCAUAAGGGAUUUGGUUUAGGUUGUAUCUUACCGACCCAGUGGUUUUUCCUACUUUCUUCAGUUUAAGCUUGAAUUUUGCUAUAAGAAGCUGAUGAUCUGAGCCACAGUCAGCUCCUGGUCUUGUUUUUGCUGACUGUAUAGAGCUUCUCCAUCUUUGGCUGCAGAGAAUAUAAUCAAUCUGAUUUCGAUGCUGCCCAUCUGGUGAUGUCCAUGUGUAGAGUCGUCUCUUGUGUUGUUGGAAAAGCGUGUUUGUGAUGAACAGCUUGUUCUCUUGACAGAACUCUAUUAGCCUUUGCCCUGCUUCGUUUUGAUCUCCAAGGCCAAACUUGCCAGUUGUUCCUUUUAUCUCUUGAUUCCCUACUUUAGCAUUCCAAUCCCCUAUAAUGAGAAGAACAUCCUUCUUUGGUGUCACUUCUAUAAGGUCUUGUAAGUCUUCAUAGAAUUGGUCAAUUUCAGUUUCUUCAGCACCAGUAGUUGGUGCAUAAACUUGGAUUACUGUGAUGUUAAAAGGUCUGCCUUGGAUUCGUAUCUUAACAUUAACAUACAUUUAAACAAUGAUUUAAUUAGAAAUCAUUGUCUACAGAACACUCAGAUUUAUAAUAUCCUGGUGUAACCAAACUAACCCCUCUGCUCAAACUCUUCUGCCUAUGCUUUCAUUGUCUCCCUCUAUCUCCUCUCUUACUUUAUUCCUUCACAGUCUUUUAUUCUCACAACUACUCUCCUAUCAAGUGUCAUUCUCCGACCAAGAUACUGCCCGCAUUUCAAGAUCAUACCAGAAUAGGAAGCUGCCUUCUUCUGUCAAAGCAUCGGUCCAUCUAGCUCAAUAAUGCCAACCCUGACAAUCAGUGGCUCUCCAGAAUUUCAACAGGGGUCUUUCCUAGUACCUACCUGGAGAUGCAUGGGAUUGAUACUACUGUCAGUCAUGUUCCCACUCCCUCUCCCACCAUGCAUGUUUUACCUUAGCUUAAAGAGAGAGAUGGUGAACCAUGAGAGUCUCUUGCCCUUCUGACCCAUUCUUCUGCCAGCCCCUUUUCCCGUGUCUUUAAUGCAUUUGUAGACAUUAGAAGGUGGUGGUGCUCACCUGCGUGUAAUGAAAAGCCUCAUCUGCUUAUUUCUGCAGAUCAAGCUGCUGUUAAAGGGCAAAGAGCAGAUGAGGUUUCCUCUCCCUCUCUUUUCCCAGUUUGACAACUUUACCUGCAAAAAAGGCAGAAGUGCUUCUCCUGUGAUCCUUCGGCUUAUUAUGCAAAUGUUCCAGACGUCUUCCAUUCCCCUUUCUUAAAUGAGCCAGUGCCACAGACCCUGGGAUGAACACACCUCAAAUCAAACUAAUCACAGGUCUUUAAUUGGUGCCUUUCUGCCCCCCCCCCAGCUGUACAUAACCCCUGGGGUCCAUAUUUUUUAUGUCCUCUAAAGGAGCAUAAGAAAAGACAGGGCAAUAAGGAAUGUUAUCCUUAAGUACACUUAAAAAUAAUAAGGGUGAGGAGUUUCUUUAGUUUGGCAUGUUCUAUCAGAGACGGGAUAAUAGAAUUUCUAAACCCAUUGAUUUUAUGGCAUUAAGAAUCUGCUUGAUAAGUCAGUGUCUGCACACUGCUGAUUGCUAUCUCUAGCUGUAUAAGCAGUACUGUCCCCAUUUCAUUUUCAGUAAGAAAUUGAGGGAGACUUUGCUUCACAAAGAGAAAGGGCUCUGUGUGUAUGUGUGUACGUGCGCACAUGCCAAAAAGCCCCUUUGUCAUUGGGAUGACUUUUACAUAUGUGCCAAAUUGCCGUGUGUGUCCAUGUGCACACUGGAUUACACCGCAGUGAAUGAAACAGGUGUAACUAUACUGCACACAGCGUUAUGGCUAACAUUGGUUGAAAUGUGGACCUAAUGGCAAAUGCAGCUUCUGUCAGCUGGAAGGAAUUGUAUAAUAAAGGAUCACAGAGAGCAGCAGGCAAUGGGCUACCUGUUCUCUCCCACUGAGCAGUUGGACUUUAAGGUGCCACAAAUUCUUUGUCUCUAUAUUUAAAUAUCUGGUUUUCAGGGUUUUUCUAAAAUGUCAACCAUCCUUUUUCUAUGUGUUCAGAGAAAUUCAAAGACAUUGUCUUGAUUCAGACCAUAGUUUAAAGUUACACACAAAGUUACUCAGGCCCCUAUGCCUAUGCCUCUCCUCUCCUCCUCUGGCAUGGAGAGAGCAGAGACAUCUGGCUCCACUUUAAACUAUGCAGUUUAUCAUUACAUACAAACUGGGAACUGUGGUUUGUUUUAAAUAUGACUUAUCUGAACAAGCCAGGAUCAAAAACUGUUGUUUGACCAUGGUUCUUUUGAACAAACCAUAGUUUAAACCAGGGGUCAGCAACCUUUUUCAGAUGUGGGUUGGUCCACCGUACCUCAGACCAUGUGGGGGGCCAGACUAUAUUUUUUGGGGGGAAAUGAACAAAUUCCUAUGCCCCACAAAUAACCCAGAGAUGCAUUUUAAAUAAAAGCACACAUUCUUCUCAUGUAAAAACACCAGGCAGGCCCCACAAAUAACCCAGAGAUGCAUUCUAAAUAAAAUGAGACAUUCUACUCAUGUAAAAAAAUGCUGAUUCCCAUACAGCCCAUGGGCCAGAUUGAGAAGGAGAUCCAGCCCCUUGGCCUUAGGUUACCUACCCCUGGUUUAAACUAACUGGUUUAUCCUCUUUUUGAUGAAAUGGCAAAUAGUUGUUAGUUUAAUAAUGGAGAUGUAUGCUUCCAAUUUUCUUGUGGCUGCACUGGUAGAGGAGAAUAGAAAGGGACAAGUCUGGACCAAGACAUUUUGCUGCCUGAAGCAAAGGAUGAAAUCGUGUCCUCCCUUUCCACAAACAGAAGUGGAGUGAGCUGGCAAUUGCAUCAACACUGUGGUGGCGGCAGGCUGAUAUCAGCAGGCUGUCAUAGGGGGUUCAGGGCAAGUCACACAGCUCAAUCAGCUCUGUCCUCUGAAAUCUUGUCACUGAUCCUUGUCUCCACAGCAUCUGCCUCCUGAGGUGGCUGCCUCACUCCACCUCAUGGUAGAGGCAGCCCUGGAGAAGGAGCAUAGAAGCCCUCCCAUUAUCUCAGGGCUGCUGUCUGUGUUUUUAAACCAUUAUUGUUCCCUUGUUACAGAUUGGGCAGAAGAAGAACAGACGGGAGACUUUUACUUAUCUUAGGGCAGGAUGGUCAGAAAGUGCAUUGGGAUCUACAGGUACAUUUACUCUGGGUGAUGUGAAGUAGAUCAGCAGUGAUUUCUGAUUCCAGUCCCUAGUAGCAGUUUGUUAUACUGUAUUGGGAAGGAAUUUCAGAAGGCAGGAGUGUCGGCUUGGCCCCAUGACCAUGAGUGCCCACGGUCGUGGGUGCCCUGCAGUGUGUAUGGCCCCGGGGCUGAAGUUUGUGGGUGCCCAGCCCCUCCAUGGGGAAUUCUGUGGGUGCUCGGGCACCCAGGGAGUCUGCACCUAUGUCAGAAGGUGGGGGGAGGUUAAACUAGUAGAAGAUUGAACUUUAGUACAAUUUAAAAAAUAAUAAUAAUUGAAUGCAGAUCUUUUUGUUGUUGUUGUUUUUAAAAAGGCAAAUAUGGACAAAUGGGGUGAAGCAAACAUAACACUGGAAAAAUAAGAAAUGGAAAGAACCCCAAACUUGAAUAUUAUUAAUUUAUAUACCAUUUAUAUGCCAAAAUUUGUCUUUCUGUAAAUCAAACCCAUGGAUGCAAGAGGCAAUUUUGUUGCCAGGGACUUUACACCUAGUCAUUAUCUUAGAGUUAUUGUAGCUUAGCAGAACAAGACUGUACAUGUUUACUUUGAAACAGUGCUGAAUAAUGGAGGGAAAUGCAUGUGAACCCACAUCCUCAUAACUCCCAAUUUUUGCUAAUAGUGAACCCACAUUUUUCUGAUGAAAUGUCAGAGAUUUUUCUUACCCAUCCUUCCCCCUAGAAGAACAUGAAAGUUUGCAGAAGGUGGGGGAAGGUUAAACUAGUAGAAGACCGAACUUUAGUACAAUUUUAAACAAUAUUUUAGUAUAUCAUUUCCUGUGCUAUCAGUAUAAGGAGGGCUAUACACUGAAAAUAGAAGAGAGUGGGUGUUUAUAUAUGCACAUUUUAAUGUGUAGAGAAUUGGUGGAGUUCAUGGUGAGCUGGAAAAUCCUCCUAUUGCCUCCCAUUUCAUUCACAAGCAUAUCUCCCACUUCAUAUGUUCUCUAGUUUCACUUUACUAUCUGACAAACAUUUAGUGCUCCAGAUUUCAAAGACAUCACGUCUGAUCUGAGGCUCUCUAGAUAUCACGUCUGAUCUGAGGCUCUGUGCAUCCUCAGAAUAUAUAAUACAAAGAGUAAACAUACUGGACAAUAACCUUCCUUGUCUCUGCAAUGCAACUGAAGAUGGCAAGGACAGAAACAGUGAAUGCUGAUGGUGGACAGGCAAAAUGAUAUACAGAGAGCAAAAUCAAGAGUCAUUAGAAUCCCACUUCUUUGCUCUACUUGAAUGCAAAGCCACCUAAUUACUCUGAGAUCAGGAUAGCUCUAGAAGAUGGCAAUGUUGGGCAUUUGACAGAACCCUGAAACCAGCAAAGGUCCUGCUGCCCUAAAAUUGCCACUUAGUACAAAGUAUCCAAAAAAAUUCAGAUGCAGCAUAAGAUAAAUCUGUGCUGUUCUGCCUCUUCUGGAUUAGGGCCACAUUCACACCCUUUUCACAUCACUUUAAACAGUCAUGUGUGCCUGCUUGCUGAAGCAUGAGAAAGGACUUAACUAAUAGGGGGAAGGUAGGGCAAGUGACCCCAGAAUUAGCUCAGUAUGAAGCGAGUGAACGGAAAGCAGUGCUUUAAGAUUAACACUACCAGCCUCCAAUUCACACAUGUUUGGUACAGAUUGUUGAGAGCAAACUUGAAAACAAGAAAUGUUGCUGAUUUAACUUGGAAUCCUGCCUGUGCGUGGACCUGCCUCUUGUCUUAAGUAUCUCUGUUACUAGCAAUUUACCAAUGAGCUGAUAACUUUCAGUUGGUUCUUGUUGAGUCCUGGGGAAAGGUAGGACAUUGCCUUGAGCUAAGAGUGAAAGAAUGAGAGAAUUCUCUGUUUACUAUCCUAUCAUUUGGGAAUGAAAAUGGCAGGGGAGCUGCCCUGACCCUAUGAACCUUUUUUGGCAGUGCCUCAGGGUUGCUGAUUUUUUUAGCAGAAGACAGUUGGAGAGUUGCAAGCUGACUUAAUUGUCUGCAGUUCUUAGUGCCAAGUGCCCAAGGAUAGAAGGCAUGCAGGGAAGUCAGUUUCUAGAGGUCUGCGGAGGAGCUGGCACUCGAUUGCCUUUGAAAGAAGGAGAGCCUGCCAACUUGGCUUGGACUUGACGCUGAUGAAUGGAAGUGGGGCGAGAGGGAGAAGUCCUGCCACAGAGGAGCCACCUGGCCAGAUGGAAAAGGCCAACUCCUAGCACAUCUUCAGCUCAGGGGACAAGCCCUGGACAGAUGUCUCUUUCCAAAUUGACCUGGGAGGUAGGAGACAGGCAGAAUAAUGCAAAGGCAUUGCAAAGGGACUAGAAUGCUGGGCAGUCACUAGACUGAAAGGACUGGGUUAUGGAGGGUGGUUGUUUGCACAUCUUUUCUCGGCAAUUCACCACAGUCGUUUCCAAGUUAGGAACAUUGCUGGAUUCCUGCUUCCUGCCCCUCCAUAUGCUUCUCCUUUACUGUUGUUUAAUGGGUGGGAAAUAUGAUCUGAUAACAUGUUUGUAUUUCUGUGCUGCAUUCCAGUGGUCUCCGAGUUUGCCUUUUUGGAACAGUCCCUAGCCCUAAAUGGCCUCGGCUCAGAAUACCUGAAGGAGCAUCUCUACCCCCAUCGCUCAGCCCAGACACUGAGGUCCUCUGAGGGUCUUCUGCUAGUUCCCUCACUGCGAGAAGCAAAGUUACAGGGAACCAGGCAGAGGGCCUUCUCGGUAAUGGCGCCCUCUCUGUGGAACGCCCUCCCUUCAGAUGUGAAGGAGAUAAAGAAUUACACAGCUUUUAGAAGACAUCUGAAGGCAGCCAUGUAUUGGGAAGUUUUUAACGCUUGAUGUUUUUAUUAUGUUUUUAUAAAUUCUGUUAGCCGCCCAGAGUGGCUUGGGAAACCCAGCCAGAUGGGUGGGGUAUAAAUAAUAAAAUUAUUAUUAUUAUUAGUCACAAACACAGACAACCCUUUGGUGUAACAAAACAGAAGAAAGUGAAGUAGUGGAUGAUCUAAUUAAAUAAAGUGAUACUUCCAUGGAAAAUGACCAGAAUACACUGUUUGUAGAUGUUAGCUGUUAAUAAGGAGAGGGAAUGACAAAAGGAGUACAGUAAGUCUGAAUCUUCUAUAUGCACUCAGAAGCAAAAAUGAACAAGACAAUUGAUUCCUCUGCAAGCAAACAUAGUUCUUUUUUAAAAAUGGUGCACAGCCUGGGAAUGUGAUUUUAAAGUUACUUGCAGAACCACAAUAAUAAUGAUGGUGAUAAUAAUAUCAUUGUUGACUGUGUUUCAUUGCUCACCGUAGCUAAGAGCAGAAUUCCCUUGCCCUCCAAACAAAUCCGGUGAAAGGCAAGGGUGGUUGUGCAGGCAGCAAAACUUCACGGGUGCAUCCAUCAAAUUCUGCAAUGGGACCAGCGAAGCACACAGGCUGCAAGGCAUCCGUAAUGAGAACUGGAAAAUGGAAAAAGCCUCAGCAGUAGGGGCUCAAUAAUUAAUCAAAGCUGAAAUUCUCUCUAACGAAGGCAGCAGCCCCAGC